UGGCUGUUGCUUACUGGUAUGACGUCGCCGUCCUUCAGCGGUGGUGCGUCGGCACUGCGCGGGACGAGUGCGACGUACUGUUCGCCGACUGCCGA
rnacentral:tRNA from 2 species